rnacentral:rRNA from 1 species
AUUGAACGCUGGCGGCAGGCCUAACACAUGCAAGUCGAACGGUAACAGGAAGAAUCUUGCUUCUUUGCUGACGAGUGGCGGACGGGUGAGUAAUGUCUGGGAAACUGCCUGAUGGAGGGGGAUAACUACUGGAAACGGUAGCUAAUACCGCAUAAUGUCGCAAGACCAAAGAGGGGGACCUUCGGGCCUCUUGCCAUCGGAUGUGCCCAGAUGGGAUUAGCUAGUAGGUGGGGUAACGGCUCACCUAGGCGACGAUCCCUAGCUGGUCUGAGAGGAUGACCAGCCACACUGGAACUGAGACACGGUCCAGACUCCUACGGGAGGCAGCAGUGGGGAAUAUUGCACAAUGGGCGCAAGCCUGAUGCAGCUAUGCCGCGUGUAUGAAGAAGGCCUUCGGGUUGUAAAGUACUUUCAGCGGGGAGGAAGGGAGUAAAGUUAAUACCUUUGCUCAUUGACGUUACCCGCAGAAGAAGCACCGGCUAACUCCGUG